rnacentral:rRNA from 1 species
ACGCGAAAAACCUUACCAGGUCUUGACAUCCUCUGACACUCCUAGAGAUAGGACGUUCCCCUUCGGGGGACAGAGUGACAGGUGGUGCAUGGUUGUCGUCAGCUCGUGUCGUGAGAUGUUGGGUUAAGUCCCGCAACGAGCGCAACCCUUGAUCUUAGUUGCCAGCAUUAAGUUGGGCACUCUAAGGUGACUGCCGGUGACAAACCGGAGGAAGGUGGGGAUGACGUCAAAUCAUCAUGCCCCUUAUGACCUGGGCUACACACGUGCUACAAUGGAUGGUACAAAGGGCAGCAAAACCGCGAGGUCGAGCAAAUCCCAUAAAACCAUUCUCAGUUCGGAUUGUAGGCUGCAACUCGCCUACAUGAAGCUGGAAUCGCUAGUAAUCGCGGAUCAGCAUGCCGCGGUGAAUACGUUCCCGGGCCUUGCACUCACCGCCCGU